CCACACCUGCAAACGAAACCAAGAAAAACUUGUCCUCUGGAUACAGAUACCAUAUCCCUUUAAGGGAGGUGCCUUUCAGUACCACCCAUAUUCUGCAACCAGAACAGAACUGAGCACGCCCCUCUUUCUCCAUCUUUAGAGACAAGAGACACAGAGCCAGACUCCUGUGGCCUCGUCAGGCCAGCCUUGAGGCAAAGGGAACAAAUGAAACACUAGGAAUCCCAGCCUUGAAGCAGAAGGCAGGCAUGAUGUCUUGACAGUAAUGGCAACCAGAGCCAUCUACAUGUGGGAUCCAGCGCCAGUGGGGACCAAAGAGCAGCAGGUAGGCCACAAAGAUCUGAUGGCUUCAUGACCCUCAUUCCUCCAUUCUCACCAACUCUCCUUAAACCAGAGCACUUUCAAGGGCAGACACACACCCUGACAGGGAGGGGAGGUGGCCGCAGCACCUGUGCAUCACAGUCGCUAAGUCUGCUUCUUCUUAUUUAUUUUUAAAAUAUAUUUAAACAGCAGCAAUCACUUCCAAAAUGCAAAAAAAAAAAAAUUACAAUUUUUAGAAUAAAAUUAA